GGAGACUGGCUGGUCUCAGGGCCCCUCAACCAGCUUUCAUGUGUCACCACCGCAGGCAGGCCACCCAGCUCCAGGAGGAGGACCCUGAGGACUCUGAUGAAGAACGGGCUCCAAGGCAGCAAGUGAAACUUCUCCAGAGG